GUUUUGUCACCGGGAUGCACAGAGGCACAGAAUUCUGCUGCUGAAAGGAGAUGGGAACCUGCUGAAGUUUACUGCUGUCUGAAAAGAAUAUGCACUAUUCCUGUCUUCACAAGAUGCCUGAUGGUGAGCAGAAAUUUGGCAGCAUGAGCUCUUUGAUGGAUGGUUCUAAGCUGAACUAAGCAGAAACUGUCUUGGAAGUGUCCCUGUCCUUGCUUGUUUACUACUCAAAAAGGUAGCUCAAGUAUAUGAAGAUGCUGAAGGAAAUAUGAUGUGUGAUGCUGCAUUUGUUGUGACUCAGCCAGAUAUAUUCAAUUUAUGCAGGUGGCAAGUGUUCUGGAUUACUAACAGAAUAAAAGGUCUCAGGAGAAAUACCCAGUGUAAAUAAAACCCCAUCCAGGUAAGGAAGCAG
rnacentral:lncRNA from 14 species